rnacentral:rRNA from 1 species
CAGCAGCCGCGGGAAUACAAAGGGUGCGAGCGUUAAUCGGAUUUACUGGGCGUAAAGCGUGCGUAGGCGGCUUCUUAAGUCGGAUGUGAAAUCCCUGAGCUUAACUUGGGAACUGCAUUUGAAACUGGCAAGCUAGAGUCUUGUAGAGGGGGGUAGAAUUCCAGGUGUAGCGGUGAAAUGCGUAGAGAUCGGAAGGAACAUCUGUGGCGAAGGCGACUAUCUGGGCCAACACUGACACUGAGGCACGAAAGCGUGGGGAGCAAACAGGAUUAGAUACCCCCGUAGUCCCUGUCUCUUAUAC